rnacentral:rRNA from 1 species
CCGCGUGAGCGAUGAAGGUUUUCGGAUCGUAAAGCUCUGUUGUUAGGGAAGAACAAGUAUCGUUCGAAUAGGGCGGUACCUUGACGGUACCUAACCAGAAAGCCACGGCUAACUACGUGCCAGCAGCCGCGGUAAUACGUAGGUGGCAAGCGUUAUCCGGAAUUAUUGGGCGUAAAGCGCGCGCAGGCGGUCCUUUAAGUCUGAUGUGAAAGCCCACGGCUCAACCGUGGAGGGUCAUUGGAAACUGGGGGACUUGAGUGCAGAAGAGGAGAGCGGAAUUCCACGUGUAGCGGUGAAAUGCGUAGAGAUGUGGAGGAACACCAGUGGCGAAGGCGGCUCUCUGGUCUGUAACUGACGCUGAGGCGCGAAAGCGUGGGGAGCGAACAGGAUUAGAUACCCUGGUAGUCCACGCCGUAAACGAUGAGUGCUAAGUGUUGGAGGGUUUCCGCCCUUCAGUGCUGCAGCUAACGCAUUAAGCACUCCGCCUGGGGAGUACGGUCGCAAGACUGAAACUCAAAGGAAUUGACGGGGGCCCGCACAAGCGGUGGAGCAUGUGGUUUAAUUCGAAGCAACGCGAAGAACCUUACCAGGUCUUGACAUCCUCUGACNAUCCUAGAGAUAGGACUUUCCCUUCGGGGACAGAGUGACAGGUGGUGCAUGGUUGUCGUCAGCUCGUGUCGUGAGAUGUUGGGUUAAGUCCGCAACGAGCGCAACC